UAGGGAAUCUUCGGCAAUGGGGGGAACCCUGACCGAGCAACGCCGCGUGAGUGAAGAAGGUUUUCGGAUCGUAAAGCUCUGUUGUUAAGGAAGAACGAGUGUGAGAAUGGAAAGUUCAUACUGUGACGGUACUUAACCAGAAAGGGACGGCUAACUACGUGCCAGCAGCCGCGGUAAUACGUAGGUCCCGAGCGUUGUCCGGAUUUAUUGGGCGUAAAGCGAGCGCAGGCGGUUAGAUAAGUCUGAAGUUAAAGGCAGUGGCUCAACCAUUGUAGGCUUUGGAAACUGUUUAACUUGAGUGCAGAAGGGGAGAGUGGAAUUCCAUGUGUAGCGGUGAAAUGCGUAGAUAUAUGGAGGAACACCGGUGGCGAAAGCGGCUCUCUGGUCUGUAACUGACGCUGAGGCUCGAAAGCGUGGGGAGCGAACAGU
rnacentral:rRNA from 1 species